UUGAACGCUGGCGGCAGGCCUAACACAUGCAAGUCGAGCGGUAGAGAGGAGCUUGCUCCUCUUGAGAGCGGCGGACGGGUGAGUAAUGCCUAGGAAUCUGCCUGGUAGUGGGGGAUAACGUUCGGAAACGGACGCUAAUACCGCAUACGUCCUACGGGAGAAAGCAGGGGACCUUCGGGCCUUGCGCUAUCAGAUGAGCCUAGGUCGGAUUAGCUAGUUGGUGAGGUAAUGGCUCACCAAGGCUACGAUCCGUAACUG
rnacentral:rRNA from 1 species